rnacentral:rRNA from 1 species
GACGAACGCUGGCGGCAGGCUUAACACAUGCAAGUCGAACGCCCGUAGCAAUACGGGAGUGGCAGACGGGUGAGUAACGCGUGGGAACAUGCCCUUUGGUUCGGAAUAACUCAGGGAAACUUGAGCUAAUACCGGAUAAGCCCGAGAGGGGAAAGAUUUAUCGCCGAAGGAUUAGCCCGCGUCCGAUUAGCUAGUUGGUGAGGUAAUGGCUCACCAAGGCGACGAUCGGUAGCUGGUCUGAGAGGAUGAUCAGCCACACUGGGACUGAGACACGGCCCAGACUCCUACGGGAGGCAGCAGUGGGGAAUAUUGGACAAUGGGGGCAACCCUGAUCCAGCCGUGCCGCGUGAGUGAUGAGGGCCCUAGGGUUGUAAAGCUCUUUCGGCGGGGACGAUAAUGACGGUACCCGCAGAAGAAGCCCCGGCUAACUUCGUGCCAGCAGCCGCAGUAAUAC